ACGAACGCUGGCGGCGUGCUUAACACAUGCAAGUCGAACGGAAAGGCCCUGCUUGCCGGGUACUCGAGUGGCGAACGGGUGAGUAACACGUGGGUGAUCUGCCCUGCACUUCGGGAUAAGCCUGGGAAACUGGGUCUAAUACCGGAUAGGAGCCAUUUUUAGUGUGAUGGUUGGAAAGUUUUUUCGGUGUAGGAUGAGCUCGCGGCCUAUCAGCUUGUUGGUGGGGUAAUGGCCUACCAAGGCGGCGACGGGUAGCCGGCCUGAGAGGGUGGACGGCCACAUUGGGACUGAGAUACGGCCCAGACUCCUACGGGAGGCAGCAGUGGGGAAUAUUGCACAAUGGGCGCAAGCCUGAUGCAGCGACGCCGCGUGGGGGAGGACGGCCUUCGGGUUGUAAACUCCUUUCGCUAGGGACGAAGCUUUUUGUGACGGUACCUAGAUAAGAAGCACCGGCUAACUACGUG
rnacentral:rRNA from 1 species